CGACCCUCCUGGGGAGGCUCUGACAUUUCCUCUUCCCUGAUGGAAGUGCAGCUGCUGUCAAAGGAAACCUCCCCAUAGUCACUCAGUGUUCCCUUUGCUUCUCAGAGUCCCAUCUGCUGCCCCUGCCCAGGAGAGCUGCUCUGCAUGGGAGGAGGAGACCGAGGGAGAGGCUUUGAAGAUGGGGCAGCUGGAGUCCCAUCUGCUGCCCCUGCCCAGGAGAGCUGCUCUGCACGGGAGGAGGAGACGGAGGGAGAGGCUUUGAAGGUGGGGCACCUGGGAUCCCUCUGCUUGGAGUUCCAUGUAGACAUGUCUAGAAGUGCACAUAGAGAUGGAUUAUCAUUUGGAUAUGUACAUAUGUGGGUCGCUAUUUGUAUAGGACUAUUUCUGUAUGUAUGGUGUUCAGGGAUGUGUGCUCUGUAUAUAUGUAUGAGUAUACAUACAUAUAUGUUUGUAAUUACAUCUACGUGUAUAUUUGUAUCUAAGUAUACAUGGAUGUUGUUAUAUCUAUGUUUAGUUCUGUUUCCUAUUUAUACAGUUGUGUUGCAAUUUAUUUCCAUUGAUGCAGCUAUAGGCAUAUGGGUCUUUAAAUAGUUAUAUUGGUAUUUGCAUAGGUAUAUAUGUCUAUUUUUAUAUUUUUAUAUGUAUACAUAUGUAUAGAUGUAUAUUUGUAUUUAUGCAUUUGUAUUGAUAUUUAUCUUGGCACAGUGAUAUUUUGUUAUUUAUAGAUAGGUUUGUGUUAUAUAUCUGUUUAUAUAUAUAGUAUAUAAUAUGUAAUAUUCAAUCUAUAUUUAUAUCUGUAUAUUUUUAUAUAUGUAUUUCUAUAUAUUUAUUUAUGUUUAUCUAUUUAUUUAUAUUUCAACAUUAUGGAGUUGUAUAGUUGUAAAAUUCUAUUGGUUCUGUGUAUAAUUGUAUGAGUUCUUGGUACACGGCUAUUUAGAGAGAGAAUUCUUACUUUUGCAUUUCUAGAUGGGCUGUAUGUUUGUAGUUAUAUGUAAUAAAUUAAGUUAUUGAAUGCCUAAUUGAUCUUUG
rnacentral:lncRNA from 1 species